UGGGGAAUUUUGGACAAUGGGCGAAAGCCUGAUCCAGCAAUGCCGCGUGUGUGAAGAAGGCCUUCGGGUUGUAAAGCACUUUUGUCCGGAAAGAAAUCCUUGGCUCUAAUACAGUCGGGGGAUGACGGUACCGGAAGAAUAAGCACCGGCUAACUACGUGCCAGCAGCCGCGGUAAUACGUAGGGUGCAAGCGUUAAUCGGAAUUACUGGGCGUAAAGCGUGCGCAGGCGGUUUGCUAAGACCGAUGUGAAAUCCCCGGGCUCAACCUGGGAACUGCAUUGGUGACUGGCAGGCUAGAGUAUGGCAGAGGGGGGUAGAAUUCCACGUGUAGCAGUGAAAUGCGUAGAGAUGUGGAGGAAUACCGAUGGCGAAGGCAGCCCCCUGGGCCAAUACUGACGCUCAUGCACGAAAGCGUGGGGAGCAAACAGGAUUAGAUACCCUGGUAGUCCACGCCCUAAACGAUGUCAACUAGUUGUUGGGGGACUUCAUUUUCCUUAGUAACGUAGCUAACGCGUGAAGUUGACCGCCUGGGGAGUACGGUCGCAAGAUUAAAACUCAAAUGAAUUGACGGGGUCAUAGCUGUUUCCU
rnacentral:rRNA from 1 species